CAGUAGCCGCGGGAAUACGGAGGGUGCAAGCGUUAAUCGGAAUUACUGGGCGUAAAGCGCACGCAGGCGGUCUGACAAGUCAGAUGUGAAAUCCCCGGGCUUAACCUGGGAACUGCAUUUGAAACUGUCAGGCUGGAGUCUUGUAGAGGGGGGUAGAAUUCCAGGUGUAGCGGUGAAAUGCGUAGAGAUCUGGAGGAAUACCGGUGGCGAAGGCGGCCCCCUGGACAAAGACUGACGCUCAGGUGCGAAAGCGUGGGGAGCAAACAGGAUUAGAGACCCGCGUAGUCCCUGUCUCUUAUAC
rnacentral:rRNA from 1 species